AUAGAAUAGAAUAGAAUAGAAUAGAAUAGAAUAGAAUAGAAUAGAAUAGAAUAGAAUAGAAUAGGUCUUCAUUAUCACUGUUACAAGAACAAUGAAAACCAGUUUAGCAGCAAAAAAACUU